rnacentral:rRNA from 1 species
GACGAACGCUGGCGGCGUGCCUAAUACAUGCAAGUAGAACGCACAGUUUAUACCGUAGCUUGCUACACCAUAGACUGUGAGUUGCGAACGGGUGAGUAACGCGUAGGUAACCUGCCUGGUAGCGGGGGAUAACUAUUGGAAACGAUAGCUAAUACCGCAUAAUAUUAAUUAUUGCAUGAUAAUUAAUUGAAAGGUGCAAUUGCACCACUACCAGAUGGACCUGCGUUGUAUUAGCUAGUAGGUGAGGUAACGGCUCACCUAGGCGACGAUACAUAGCCGACCUGGGAGGGUGAACGGCCACACUGGGACUGAGACACGGCCCAGACUCCUACGGGAGGCAGCAGUAGGGAAUCUUCGGCAAUGGACGAAAGUCUGACCGAGCAAAGCCGCGUGAGUGAAGAAGGUUUUCGGAUCGUAAAGCUCUGUUGUAAGAGAAGAACGGGUGUGAGAGUGGAAAGUUCACACUGUGACGGUAGCUUACCAGAAAGGGACGGCUAACUACGUG